UAUUGCUCAAUUUUUUUUUUUAUACAUUUUGUUCAGUAGACAGUAGUCGGCACCGUAUUAUACAUGUACAACAUUGUCAGCCAAGUCCAGUUGUACACCACUGUGAGCCAAGUCCAAUUG